GGGCCAUUAGCUCAGUUGGUUAGAGCCCCCGGCUCAUAACCGGAUGGUCCUAGGUUCGAGCCCUAGAUGGCCCACCA
rnacentral:tRNA from 1 species